rnacentral:rRNA from 1 species
AGGAAUAUUGGGCAAUGCCCGCAAGGGUGACCCAGCAACGCCGCGUGGAGGAUGAAUGUCGUAAGAUUGUAAACUCCUGUUAGAGGGGAAGAAUAGUACCGGUUGGACCGGUAUAUGACUGUACCCUCAGAGAAAGCCCCGGCUAACUCCGUGCCCGCAGCCGCGGUAAUACGUAGGGGGCAAGCGUUGUCCGGAUUUACUGGGUGUAAAGGGCGCGCAGGCGGGAUAAAAAGUCAGUGGUGAGAUCCUACAGCUUAACUGUAGAACUGCCUUUGAUACUUUUAAUCUUGAGGUCGGGGGAGAGAGACGGAAUUCCAGGGGUAGUGGUGAAAUACGUAGAUAUCUGGAAGAACACCAGGUGCGAAGGCGGUCUCUUGGUCCGACACUGACGCUGAGGCGCGAAAGCGUGGGGAGC